rnacentral:rRNA from 1 species
AACGAACGCUGGCGGCAUGCCUAACACAUGCAAGUCGAACGAGACCUUCGGGUCUAGUGGCGUACGGGUGCGUAACGCGUGGGAACCUGCCCUUAGGUUCGGAAUAACUCCCCGAAAGGGGUGCUAAUACCGGAUAAUGUCUUCGGACCAAAGAUUUAUCGCCUUUGGAUGGGCCCGCGUUGGAUUAGCUAGUUGGUAGGGUAAAAGCCUACCAAGGCGACGAUCCAUAGCUGGUCUGAGAGGAUGAUCAGCCACACUGGGACUGAGACACGGCCCAGACUCCUACGGGAGGCAGCAGUGGGGAAUAUUGGACAAUGGGCGAAAGCCUGAUCCAGCAAUGCCGCGUGAGUGAUGAAGGCCUUAGGGUUGUAAAGCUCUUUUACCCGGGAUGAUAAUGACAGUACCGGGAGAAAAAGCUCCGGCUAACUCCGUG